UCAGCUCCCAGAUGGAUCCUGGACAGGAUGCUGCAGGUGGUGCAGGAGGGGAAUCCUGCCCCAUUUAUCAUCAACACAGUAAAAAGGGGUCGAAGAGACCGAGAGCGCCAGAGGACGCCAUGGGCUCCACAUCCACUUGGAUUCCAGGGAAGGCGGUACAUCUACGAAAGCCCUAAUCAUAGAGGGAAAGACUCCUCGUUCCUGGCCCAGAAAUGAGAUGAGAAAUCCAGGGCCCCGUACAGGAAGGCCUUUCGCAAAGUCCAGACUCAAUUGCCUUCGCAGCCCUUAAAGUUUCCUUAGGAAGGUCUGUGGGAGAACGAGGUUGGUUUAGGAAUUGGCCCCUGCCUUGUACUACGUAGUUUUGUCAUCCAAAGUGUUUUAGAAGUGAAUUGAAUCAUAGUUACGCCUUAUUUUGAAACACUGUAAUUCAGAGAACGUAAAACCUUAUUAAAAUGCCUCAUAAUCA
ensembl:lncRNA LINC01556 long intergenic non-protein coding RNA 1556